UCUUAGAACUGUAUACCCCUUGGAGAUGGUAAGGUUAUCAUAUCAUUUGUGACAUAUACAGACAAGCUAUGAGAGUGAAUGUAAUGUGUGAGUUACAAAAGCUAGUUGUAUUUUUAUGCACCAGAAAAAAGUAUCAGUUACACUGAAAAACUUCAAAGUCAAAGAGAAAUUCUUUAAAGAUCCAGAAAAAAAGAAUGAUCCAGAUUACCUUCAAAUGAGCAACAGUUUAAAUGAGGACUGACUUCUCAACAGCAACUAUGAAAACCAAUGUAACUAUAUCUUCAAUAAACUGAAAG
rnacentral:lncRNA from 10 species